GUGGUAAUUCUGGAUGUUCAGCGCCGAGGUCAGCGCCUCCUUCUUCUGGUCGGCCAGCGCGCGGAACCGCUCCCACCUGCACGGCAGAGGGCUCAGGGGACGGCCGAGCCCCCCCGGAUCCCCCCGCCUACACCCUGGGACCCCCCCGGAUGCCCGAACCUGGCGUUGAGCUGCUCGCGGGUGGCGCGGAUGCUCUCCUGGUUGCGCUGGUCGGUGGCCAGCAGCUGGUCGGCGAUGCGGUUGACGGCGGCGACGCGGGACGCCAGGUUGUUCAUCUCCGGCUCCAGCGUCUCGAACCUUGGGGGGGCGACGACAAUGAACGAGGUCCUCCAGCUUGUCGGGGACGAGCAGGGCGUGCAGCCACUGCUCCUUCUCGCCCACCCAGAGCCCGCAGGCGUCCGCCUCGCUGCGCAUGGUGUAGAGGCUGAGGGCGUCCUGCAGCUCCUGCCGCCGCCGCUCCGUCUGCGCCGCCAGCUCCUGGUAGCGCCGCUCCAGCGCCGGCAGCCGCCCGGCGACACCGGGAGCGCCGGCAAAGGCGGGCGGCAGGGCCCCGGCUUGCUCGUGGAGGGCGGCGAUGGCCGGGAGGUGGCUGCGCACCUCCUCCUGCACCUCGCGGUGCUGCCGGGCCAGGCUGCGCGUGGAGUACUCGUCGUGGCCCAGCUCGGGGCUGGAGGCCAGGCGCAGGGCGUCCUCCAGCCAGGCCUCCACGUCGGCCGCCUCCGCCUGGAACUGGAAGAGGCCGGCGGCGUCCCGCAGGCGCCGCUCGCGCUCGGCCGCCAGCUCGCCCAGUGCCCGCCAGCGCCCCUCCACCUCCCGCACCCGCUCGCCCACCUCGCCCGCCCGCGGGUGCCCCUCGCCCGCCAGCCCCCGGCCCCGCGCCAGUGCCUGCUGCAGGGGCCCCGCGCGCCCGCUCAGCUCGUCGCGGAAGGCCGCGUGCUGGCUCAGCAGCCGCAGGGAGCUGGUGAGGUCCCGGCCCACGUCCUCGGAGGAGAGGAGCCGCUCCUGCUCCCGCAUCCAGGCCUCCUCCUCCCCGGUGUCCCAGAAGAACUUCCAGAAGCGCCGCGAUUCCUCCAGCUUGGCCCGGCGCUGCCCCGCCAGCUCCACCAGCUCCCGGUACCGCAGCUCCAGCGUGGCCACGCGCUCCCGCACCACCUCCGGCUCGCAGGGUUUGUAUCCUGCGGGCGGUCCCGUCAGCUCCCUGCUCCCCUGGGGCUCCGGCCGGGGGUCUCGGGGGUCCUGGGGGGCCGCACUCACCCUCUCCGGGCAGGGCGAAGCGCUGGGCCGCGGCGCUCACCGCCCGCACCCGCUCAGCCUGUGCCGCGAUGUCGGCCUCCACCAGCGCGUGGAUCUGCAGCAGGUCGUCCACCCCGUGCAGGUGCGCCAGGUCCUGCAGCAUCUUCUGCAGCUCGAGGUGCAGCAGCAGCCGCUCGCGGCGGGCGGCCACCAGCUGCCGCAGGAAGUCCCAGAGCCGCGCCACGUUGUUGCGGCGCGCCAGGACGCGGCGCAGGUCGUGGUAACGCUCGGCCUCCAGCUCGGCCGCCACCGCGCUCACCGCCUGCACCCGCUCGCUGUAGGCCACGAUGUCGGUCUCGAUGGCCUCGUGCUUGCGCACCGCCGCCUCCACCGCCGACAUGUCGCUGCCGAAAUUGUCCUGGAGGGGACGGAGAGGGGGUGAGGACGGGCUGUGGGACUCAGGGACGUGGUGGGGGGGUGGCGGAGGGGCAGGGAGGUGGGGGCACCUGGGAGACGAGGCGCUGGUUCUCGCUCAGCCACGUCUCCCUCAUGGCCGCCUUGCGGUCGAAGCGAGCCGCCAGCUGCUCCAGCUUCUCCUGCCGGAUCAGCUCGGUGCGCAGCGCCAGCUCCCGCUCGUGCUCCGCUUUCUCCAGACGCUCCCAGGCCUGCGGGGACGGACACCGGGGUCACUUCUCCCCCCCCCAGGCACGGCGGCGGCGCCCCCUCCUCGCCAAACCUUGUUGAUGUCGGAGAUGAGCUUCCCCUCGCGCGGCACGAACACCUUCUGGUUGUUGGCGCGCAUGCGGCUCUGGAUGGUGAAGAGCAGCACCUCCAGGUUGCCCUUCUCCAUGAACCUGGGGGGGGCACAGAGGCGGCGCUCAGCCCCCCGGGGAGGGGUCCACGGCCACCUGGGGGGCACGGGUCCCAGCGGGGGGGCUCACUUGGGGGGCUUCUCCACCGUGCGGUAGGUGUUGAAGGCC
rnacentral:lncRNA from 1 species